UAGCCAGACAGCUCAUUUUAAACUGGUAUUCUUUAAUUUUUCCAUUAUUGAGUUCAUUAAAAAUGUAAAGCCAAAUUAUGCAUUGUUUUGAUUGAUAAACCUUCUCUAUGUUUCUCUAGUAACUCUCUCUCUUUCGUAAUUCCAAGGAGUUGGGAUCCAGCACCUUGGAGAAAACAGCAACAGGAGGUAGUUUCCAGAUAAGCAGAAGCUGGACUCUGAGAUGGAAACUGAGCAAGAACUCCGUGAGUCAGGAUUCAGGACAGGUUUGAGAGUUGCAUGAGCAGAGGCCAUGCGAGCUGGAGGUCUCCUUUUGAAGAGAGGCCUUGAACAUUAUUUCUCCUCUGAGCAUUUUUUCUUGAAGUGCUUGAGACUGUUGACGGAAAACCACUUACUGAAGGCUCCACCAGCACCACCCAUAGGAAUGACAGAGUGAAAAAAGCAGAGGGUAGAGGAUGACUGAAAUAUCUGAAUCAGGAAAAAAAUUGGUUGUCUUUGAGAACUGCACAGUUCCAUCCUAAAUUGCGUCUUUAGCAUGGAGUGAAAUAACAAUAGAAGUGAUUUCUUCUUGGGUGAGUCUUUUCUUGCAAUUAAUUUAGGGGGGAAU
rnacentral:lncRNA from 12 species